CCUUGCUUGAAAGGCAAUUAGACUUGGCCUCCAAAAGGGAGAGGAGUGAAGAAGAGCAUCCCAGUUGAGGUGGACUGCUCACUGUUACUAGCUCUCCCUCAAUCCCUUUUAACACUGUCGGUGUCACCUUCUGGUUUCUGCAUUCUGUCGCUGCUCCUCCAAGCUAGUGGGAUUAGUUGGGGUGUAAACGUAAGUAGUGCUGUGGUGGUGGUGGUGAUGUGAGCUUUUCCAUGGAGUUUGUUUCACAGUUCUUUGUGGCUGUUCACUGAACCACCAUGUGUCAAAUCAAUUCAUCCAUAUGCAAGCAUUUGUACGUGUUGGGUAAUCUCUGGCUGUAAACUGCUGUAACCUGUAAGAGUGCCUCAAUGAUUUCAGUCGGGAGGAAAUCGGAUUCACAGCCUGUUCACGGUUGUCUUGUCUAGCCUCAGAACAGUUAACAGAUGACGUUUUUUAUUUGUCUGAUUGGUUUGCCUAUUGUUUAAACAAUCAAAUGGGUUUUAUUAGUUUUGAUUCAAACAAAGAAUUUGCUUUGGAUUUUCUUGUCUGGCCUGCAAGUAAAAACGCAUCCACAACAAUCUUGCUUCCUUGUCUUCUCCUCUGUUUCUCUUGAAGCCAUGCCAACGACGUUUGUGUGCUUCGGAGAGAAGGUGGUGUUGGUGAUUGUGUAUGUGGAGAAGCCAACGAGGAGGAAAGCUACAGCUUCAGCUUCAGCUUCGUUAAGCCAUAACCAUCAACUUCAUCACUCCAUCAAACAAGGAUUCACAUGUGGUAAGAGUGCUUCUCCCGCUGGUAGAGGAUACAACAGAAGAGCCGAGCUUCUUCAUUACUCCCGGUGCCUCAGGGAGUCUGCACCACCAGUCUCAUCUACACCUGUCCAUCCCCCCAGACAACAAGCCUCCAAGAACCAGCAACGUCUGAAAGCCAAGAUUAAAAGCAAAUACUUUAGUGCUCCGGCUUGCCUGUGCUUUUGGAAGAUCUUGAUUCAACGAAAUCUUGAAGAAAACAACAACAAAAAAAAAGACUAAGGAACUUAUUGGAUCCACUACCACUAAGAUAAAGGAUGCUUUAUCCAAAAGCCUAAAGGUGAAAAAGAAGAUGGCGUUUGUUUUCAAACUUGUUUCCAGAAUUCAGAAGCAUUAUUACCGGCGGUCUGUAACUGAAAGGCCAAUUCUAUUCCAAAUUCAAUUUGAUGUAUGAAGACUUAUUGAUGUAUGAAGACAUCUAUCUGAGAAGAAAAAAAGAGCUUUCAGACUGUGCUUUGUGCCUUUUGACAACAAGGUCGGUUCCCAACUGCCCACUAUUAUUUAAUUGGAAUCGGCCAGAAAGAAAUUGGAGGUGGCAGGAGGCAGGAGGCAGGAGGCAGGAGGCAGGAGGCAUAGCCAUCUCAAAACUAAUUAAAUAGAUGUUAAUAUGAUUGAUGAGCACACUAUCACCAAGUGAUGAUGGUUCAGUUGAUAGGAUGUCAGGGCCUGAGGAUGGGCUACCCUAGCUUGGUUAGUCCUUGAAAUUCAUGACUUGGAAGGCUGGGCAUUUGGGCUAUAGAAUUGGCUCUCCCAACACCUGCAAUUUGAGGAGUAACCGUGCUUGUGCCAGAUGCAAGAGCAAUACCAUUAUGAAUCAAAUUAUGGUGCAUUAACGAAUAUUUGCAAUUUAUCAAGUCAAUAUGUCAAUAAAUCACAUUAAUCUUAUCAUAUAGUAUGUUUACUUUUCAUUAAAGAUGUCAAUUGUAUUGUUGAUUCCCGUUUUUAUUUUUGCUUCAUGCUGCAAUUCUUACACCCUAGGCUCAAUUUGAAAAGGGUAUUAAUGUAAAUGUAUUCAGUACAAAACCUUGUAUACGAUA